rnacentral:rRNA from 1 species
AUUGAACGCUGGCGGCAGGCUUAACACAUGUAAGUCGAGCGGAGCGAGGGUGCUUGCACCUUAGCUUAGCGGCGGACGGGUGAGUAAUGCUUAGGAAUCUGCCUAUUAGUGGGGGACAACAUUCCGAAAGGAAUGCUAAUACCGCAUACGCCCUACGGGGGAAAGCAGGGGAUCUUCGGACCUUGCGCUAAUAGAUGAGCCUAAGUCGGAUUAGCUAGUUGGUGGGGUAAAGGCCUACCAAGGCGACGAUCUGUAGCGGGUCUGAGAGGAUGGUCCGCCACACUGGGACUGGGACACGGCCCAGACUCCUACGGGAGGCAGCAGUGGGGAAUAUUGGACAAUGGGCGGAAGCCUGAUCCAGCCAUGCCGCGUGUGUGAAGAAGGCCUUUUGGUUGUAAAGCACUUUAAGCGAGGAGGAGGCUACUAGUAUUAAUACUACUGGAUAGUGGACGUUACUCGCAGAAUAAGCACCGGCUAACUUCGUGCCAGCCGCCGCAGUAAUAC